AGCGAACGCUGGCGGCAGGCCUAACACAUGCAAGUCGAACGAACCCUUCGGGGUUAGUGGCGGACGGGUGAGUAACACGUGGGAACGUGCCUUUAGGUUCGGAAUAACUCAGGGAAACUUGUGCUAAUACCGAAUGUGCCCUUCGGGGGAAAGAUUUAUCGCCUUUAGAGCGGCCCGCGUCUGAUUAGCUAGUUGGUGAGGUAAUGGCUCACCAAGGCUACGAUCAGUAGCUGGUCUGAGAGGAUGACCAGCCACAUUGGGACUGAGACACGGCCCAAACUCCUACGGGAGGCAGCAGUGGGGAAUCUUGCGCAAUGGGCGAAAGCCUGACGCAGCCAUGCCGCGUGGAUGAUGAAGGUCUUAGGAUUGUAAAAUCCUUUCACCGGUGAAGAUGAUGACUGUAGCCGGAGAAGAAGCCCCGGCUAACUUCGUGCCAGCCGCCGCCGUAAGAC
rnacentral:rRNA from 1 species